GUAGUCAUAUGCUUGUCUCAAAGAUUAAGCCAUGCAUGUCUAAGUAUAAGCAAUUAUACCGCGAAACUGCGAAUGGCUCAUUAUAUAAGUUAUCGUUUAUUUGAUAGUACCUUACUACUUGGAUAACCGUGGUAAUUCUAGAGCUAAUACAUGCUAAAAAUCCCGACUUCGGAAGGGAUGUAUUUAUUAGAUUAAAAGCCAAUGCCCUCUGGGCUCUCUGGUGAUUCAUGAUAACUUCUCGAAUCGCAUGGCCUUGCGCCGGCGAUGGUUCAUUCAAAUUUCUUCCCUAUCAACUUUCGAUGUUUGGGUAUUGGCCAAACAUGGUUGCAACGGGUAACGGAGGGUUAGGGCUCGACCCCGGAGAAGGAGCCUGAGAAACGGCUACUACAUCCAAGGAAGGCAGCAGGCGCGCAAAUUACCCAAUCCCGACACGGGGAGGUAGUGACAAUAAAUACUGAUACAGGGCUCUUUUGGGUCUUGUAAUUGGAAUGAGUACAAUUUAAAUCCCUUAACGAGGAACAAUUGGAGGGCAAGUCUGGUGCCAGCAGCC
rnacentral:rRNA from 1 species